UGAACGCUGGCGGUAUGCCUAACACAUGCAAGUCGUACGAGAGUUUUUAACUCUAGUGGCGGACGGGUGAGUAACACGUGAGAAUUUACCUUUAGGAGGGGGAUAACAAUUGGAAACGAAUGCUAAUACCCCAUAUGCUUUCGAGUGAAAUGGAUUUAUAUUUAUCCGCCUAGAGAGAAGCUCGCGGCUGAUUAGCUUGUUGGUAAGGUAAGAGCUUACCAAGGCGACGAUCAGUAUCUGGUUUGAGAGGACGAUCAGACACACUGGAACUGAGACACGGUCCAGACUCCUACGGGAGGCAGCAGUGGGGAAUUUUCCGCAAUGGGCGAAAGCCUGACGGAGCAAUACCGCGUGAGGGAAGACUGCCUAUGGGUUGUAAACCUCUUUUUUCAGGGAGGAAUAAAAUGACGUGUACCUGAAGAAUAAGCAUCGGCUAACUCC
rnacentral:rRNA from 1 species